rnacentral:rRNA from 1 species
UUAUUUGAGAGUUUGAUCCUGGCUCAGGAUGAACGCUGGCGGCGUGCCUAACACAUGCAAGUUGAGCGAUUUACUUCGGUAAAGAGCGGCGGACGGGUGAGUAACGCGUGGGUAACCUACCCUGUACACACGGAUAACAUACCGAAAGGUAUGCUAAUACGGGAUAAUAUAUUUGAGAGGCAUCUCUUGAAUAUCAAAGGUGAGCCAGUACAGGAUGGACCCGCGUCUGAUUAGCUAGUUGGUAAGGUAACGGCUUACCAAGGCGACGAUCAGUAGCCGACCUGAGAGGGUGAUCGGCCACAUUGGAACUGAGACACGGUCCAAACUCCUACGGGAGGCAGCAGUGGGGAAUAUUGCACAAUGGGCGAAAGCCUGAUGCAGCAACGCCGCGUGAGUGAUGAAGGCCUUCGGGUCGUAAAACUCUGUCCUCAAGGAAGAUAAUGACGGUACUUGAGGAGGAAGCCCCGGCUAACUACGUGCCAGCAGCCGCGGUAAUACGUAGGGGGCUAGCGUUAUCCGGAUUUACUGGGCGUAAAGGGUGCGUAGGCGGUCUUUCAAGUCAGGAGUGAAAGGCUACGGCUCAACCGUAGUAAGCUCUUGAAACUGGGAGAC